AUGCCAUUUACCCUACCUAAAUAUAUAAAACUAAAUUUUGUCAAUUCAAGAUUUCUUGAAUUUAUUUGAGCUUUAAUCCAAGAUCAACUAACAACUUGAAUUUUUAACAGUCAAGUUGAGCUCGAGCAUCUCAAGUGGUAUUUUGAACUAAGUUCAAGCAUGAAAAAUAAAGCUUGAUCAAAUUCAAGUUGAGUUUCAAGUCUCAAGUGAUAGUGCACUGUAACUAACCAACUAUAGAGCACAAUAUAAAGCUUUUACCGAUAUAACUCUGACUCUGCUCAGUUACACCUUUAGCUAUGAGAUUCAAUAUAAAGAACAAAUAGGUGUUCUAAAAUGCAAUGAAUACUGAUAGAAAAGGUAUGGUGACUGACAAAAACAAAUGUACCACAAAGCUUUUAAAAUUUUUCAGGAAAAAUAAUUUAUUAAGAUAAGCAUAAGGGAAAGGAAAUCAUCUUGAAGAAUUACUAAGAGAGAUUAGCGAAGCCUCAGAAGCAACUUGGGUAUAACGUGCCAAUUCAAAGAACAUAGCCUUACACUUCAAGAGCGACAGAAAUUGAUUCAUGAAAUCAACCCUAAGUAUAUAUUAAUUAUUAAGGCUUUGCUGAAUCCUGUUCAGGAAAAAGGAUAUAUUAUCUAGGCAUACAACUCGUUGCUGUCAUUACAAGAUAGUGGUCAAAUAGCACCAUGAAAUGCAAGGUUACCAUAUGACUUUCAAAAUUCAAGGUUUCAAUAAAUAAAUUAUAUAUAUUUAACAAAGAUCAAAUGAAUUCAAAACCUUGGUGUAGGUUUGGGUCCUAAUCCUAAAGUUCUCCUAUUCAACAAAAAGACAACUUUGAACAUGAGAAUAGCGUAAACUUGAGUUAAUUUCACUUACCAUCCAUAAGCUUCAGCCCUUAUAAUAACGCCACUCUUGAACUUCAAUUUAUACCCCCACUUUGAUUUGAUUAACAGUAAAACCACUACAUACUAUUAAAAGUUUCAAAGUUAACAAGUUAACUUUGCAGAUCCACCACUACACCAGUUGAAUAAAUUAGACUCUUUCCUCCACAUAAGACAUUUCUCCCUCCUCUCAUUUUUCUCAUCAGAAGAAC
rnacentral:misc_RNA from 1 species